GACGAACGCUGGCGGCGUGCUUAACACAUGCAAGUCGAACGGAAAGGCCUCUUUCGGGGGGUACUCGAGUGGCGAACGGGUGAGUAACACGUGAGUAACCUGCCCUUGACUUUGGGAUAACUUCAGGAGACUGGGGCUAAUACCGGAUAGGAGCUCCUGCUGCAUGGUGGGGGUUGGAAAGUUUCGGCGGUUGGGGAUGGACUCGCGGCUUAUCAGCUUGUUGGUGGGGUAGUGGCUUACCAAGGCUUUGACGGGUAGCCGGCCUGAGAGGGUGACCGGCCACAUUGGGACUGAGAUACGGCCCAGACUCCUACGGGAGGCAGCAGUGGGGAAGAUUGCACAAUGGGUGGAAGCCUGAUGCAGCAACGCCGUGUGCGGGAUGACGGCCUUCGGGUUGUAAACCGCUUUCGCUCAUGACGAAGCUUUGUGUGACGGUAGUGGGUAAAGAAGCACCGGCUAACUACGUG
rnacentral:rRNA from 1 species